UCCUUCACAAAAUGCAACGGCCGCAUCUCCUCCUUCUCCGAUGAAGCUUCGGCGGCGCUACCACAUGAUCACCUCCGUCUCCGCCUCACACACUUAUCUUGUUCAUCCCUCAGCUCUUCUCUUGUCUCCGGUUUCCUUUCGAUUUUCUUUCAAACCGGAGAAUGCGUCCGGUGGUGCUUCGAGUUCGUUGGCGGUGAUAUGAAAACCAGAGAAAGAUGUGGUAAAACUUCCAAGCGCAGAAAGCUCUUCGUCUUCGCAUUCUUGUUUCUCCGACUCAACUUCUACUCUUCUUAAUUUUUGCGUUUCCGCUAUUGUUCAUGGUGAAGUUUGCUGCGAUUAUUUCUGUGUUGUUCGCUUGAGAUGUGCGGCAAGAGUGAGAUGAACAUAUGAGGUUGAGAGCGUGAAUUGAUGGAGGUUGUUUGAUGAUUCGCAUAUGAAGAUGAAGAACAAGGUCCUUGCAGAUCGAAGCGUGAAGUAUGUUUGAUGAAAUUUCAGAAUGAAGUUUGGAGGACUUUUGGAAAAUGACUGAAGUGUGAAUUCAAUUGAAGAUUGUUGGAGAAGGUUCUUGAGAGCAGAAGAUGGGAAUGGAGAAUGGUGUGUAGAGAGAAGGUCGGCGAUGAAGAUGAAUGAAUGGUGAAGAAGAUGGUGAGGAAAUGGUGAAUGGAUCGAGAGGGAAUGAUUUUUGGGGAGAGUUGAAGAUGAAUUGAGGUGUGAAGUGAAGAGAGGAAGAAAAUGGUUCUCACCUCAAGCUCUACAGAAGAUGAUGAUUAUAUAGAGGGCUCUUUUCUUUGAAUUGCAGGGCUGUAAUGUCCCAGAAGGAGGGGGUCUCAAAGAUGAAGAGAAAAUGAAGACUAACAUAGGGAAUAGAUUUAGGACAAUUUUGUAAUGCUUAUCUCUAUGUAAAUGGAUAGAUUUGUUGUUAUAAUUUUGUAGCGAAUUGGAUAUUUGGAUGAAUGGGAUUUUGUAAUG